rnacentral:lncRNA from 1 species
AAUUUAUAGUAAAUUAGUUUAUGGAGAGUGUUGUAGUCAACUCGGGCUGCUAGAACAGAAUGCUAUGGAUUGAGUGGUUUAUAAACAACAGAAAUGUAUUCCUCACAGUUCUGGAGGCUGGCAGUCUGAGAUCAGGAUGCCAGCGUUGUGGAAUUCUGGCGAGGAUCCUCUGCCUGGUUCUCAAACCCUCUCCACUUAUAAGGGCUCUGAUCCCAACCUGAGGGCUCCGCCCUCAUGACCUAGUGGAGCCCUAAUCACCUUCCAAAGGCCCCACCUCCAGAUACCAUCCCCCUGGGGAGUAGAGUUUCAACACAUGAAAUUUGGGAGGACACAAACAUUCAGUCCACGACAACGAGACGAGUCAGGAGAGGAGGAGCGAGGACUGAGGGAGCUUGCAGGAGCAUUCUAAUCCACAGUCAACAGAUAAAAUGAGGAAGAGGCGCCCUGAGCUCCUGACGUUCUUCACAUCCCACUUGGCCCCCAGAUUCCUCCACGGGGCCCCUUCUGUGGAAGACCUUCCAGCGCCAGUGCUUGCCAACUAUCUAUAAAGCUGUGUGGGAUGAAGACGUGGUUCGAGACAACAGUAGCCCCAGGCGCCAUGGGCCUCAGCCGCUGAAGGCGCUUUGAGAACUGUCGAGCGGAGGAAGAUGAUGGGAGCUUGGCUUGGCAGGCAGGCUGGACGUGCCAGAAACGCCCAUGCCAACACCGCACACGAAAAUGCCCGAGCACUUGGGAGCUUGGAACUUCUCAAUAAAUAAUGCACAGUUGCUGAGACAGGAGGAAAAGGGUGGGAUUGCCAGCCACCGAGCAGGAGGGGCUGGCUUGAGAAUGGGAGGCCCAGUGCUGUCUGAGGACAGAACCCUUGCUGUGCUCCUGUUCUGAGAGGCUUCAGGAAAUACCCACUGACCUCAGGUAGAAAAGGAACGAAGAGAAAGCUCUCAGGUAGGCUGUGUGUCCCCACUUGAGUGGAAGAUGUUUCAUCUCUCCCCCACUCUCUCUCUCCUCUGGAAGGGAAUCUGCUCCGGGUUUUGACUAGAAGAAACAUAAGCUAGCAUAGCAUUCAUCUAAAUAGCCAGAGGAGAACAGAGUGUGAGGUGGGGGCGGCGGGGGAGGGCUGUCUGGGACGCUAAUCCCUACUGGGUGCUAUGCAUAGCAGGUCACAGAGAGCCCUGUCUUGCAUCCUCUCAGGUCAUUUUCAUGGCAACCCUGUGACAUAGGCAGGUUGAGUAUUAGCAUCAGCCCGUUUUAAGGGUGAGUAAACUGAGGCUCAGAAGCUUGCAUAGCUAAGUGAUGGAACCCCCACCCAGGGACGUGGUCCAUGUGUGGUCUUAGGCUUGGCCUCCUCAAACCAAGACCCAAUCCCCCAUUACUCCCUCAAGCUGAAUAUCCCUUUGUGGGGCCCUUAUACCUACUAGACAGGGACCAACUCCUGUGUGCCAUGCGAAAGCCCUCUGUGUUCUAGCAGCAGUGGGCUUUGCCCACCACAAUAUUCUCCAUUGCACCCUCAGUCACGAAACUACUGGUCACUGUGGAUAAAUAAUCUGUGCUACGUCCAGACAGAGGAAUAUUAUUCAGCACUGGAAAGAAAUGAGCUAUCAAGCCAUGAAAUGACAUGGCAUACUGCUAAGUGAAAGAACACGACCUGAAAAGGCAAAAUUACGGAGACAGUAGAAAGAUCAGUGGUUGCCGGGGGUUUAGGGCACAGACUGAGGGAGGGAUGAAGAGCUGGAACAUGUGGGGUUUUCAGGGCAGUGAUACAAUUCUGUACGGUACUGCAACGGUAGAUACGUGUCAUUAUGCAUUUGUCAAAACCUAUAGAACGUACCGCGCUCAGAGGAGCCCUAAUGUAAACUGCGGACUCUGGGGGAUAGUGAUGAGCCAAUGUAGGUUCACACUUGUAACAAACGUACCACCUGGUGGG